ACAGGGGGAUAACACUGAGAAAUUGGUACUAAUACCCCAUAAUAUCAUAGAAGGCAUCUUUUAUGGUUGAAAAUUCCGAUGGUUAGAGAUGGGCAUGCGUUGUAUUAGCUAGUUGGUGGGGUAACGGCUCACCAAGGCGACGAUACAUAGGGGGACUGAGAGGUUAACCCCCCACACUGGUACUGAGACACGGACCAGACUCCUACGGGAGGCAGCAGUGAGGAAUAUUGGUCAAUGGACGCAAGUCUGAACCAGCCAUGCCGCGUGCAGGAUGACGGCUCUAUGAGUUGUAAACUGCUUUUGUACGAGGGUAAACGCAGAUACGUGUAUCUGUCUGAAAGUAUCGUACGAAUAAGGAUCGGCUAGCUCCGUGCCAGCAGCCGCGGUAAUACGGAGGAUUCAAGCGUUAUCCGGAUUUAUUGGGUUUAAAGGGUGCGUAGGCGGUUUGAUAAGUUAGAGGUGAAAUUUCGGGGCUCAACCCUGAACGUGCCUCUAAUACUGUUGAGCUAGAGAGUAGUUGCGGUAGGCGGAAUGUAUGGUGUAGCGGUGAAAUGCUUAGAGAUCAUACAGAACACCGAUUGCGAAGGCAGCUUACCAAACUAUAUCUGACGUUGAGGCACGAAAGCGUGGGGAGCAAACAGGAUUAGAUACCCUGGUAGUCCACGCAGUAAACGA
rnacentral:rRNA from 1 species